rnacentral:rRNA from 1 species
UACGUAGGGUGCAAGCGUUGUCCGGAAUUAUUGGGCGUAAAGAGCUCGUAGGCGGUUUGUUGCGUCGGCUGUGAAAUCCCGAGGCUCAACCUCGGGUCUGCAGUCGAUACGAGCAAACUAGAGUGUUGCAGGGGAGACUGGAAUUCCUGGUGUAGCGGUGAAAUGCGCAGAGUAUCAGGAGGAACACCGGUGGCGAAGGCGGGUCUCUGGGGCCGAUACUGACGCUGGAGGAGCGAAAGCGUGGGGAGCGAACAGG